GAGGCACUCGCGCGACCUGCAAGCGACGCUUAUCCUUAGGACGUAGUUAGCGCAGCUGCGGGAUACACACCUUACCAGUUGAGCGCCUUUGACUUUGGUUCAAAUCUGCGGGACAACUGGAUUGAUCCAGAGGGAAGUAACUGUGUGUUGUGGCCAACCCACCUGCGACACAGGACAGGCGUUGAAAAGGCAGUCAAGAAUAAAAUCCUCCCCCAGACAACACCUGGAAAGCCUAUCCUAUAUCAAGGAUUUUAUGGAAAAGCACCGAAUGGAGUGAAGCUACAAGAAAGUGCAGGAAAGCUGAAGAGACCAGUGACCUGGAGUCUGAGCAGGAAGAACCUGCCCCCAAAACGGUUUAUAAGCGCUGAACAAAGU